UACGAAGGGGGCUAGCGUUGUUCGGAAUUACUGGGCGUAAAGCGUAUGCAGGCGGAUCGUUAAGUCGGGGGUGAAAUCCCGAGGCUCAACCUCGGAACUGCCUUCGAUACUGGCGAUCUUGAGUCCGGGAGAGGUGAGUGGAACUCCGAGUGUAGAGGUGAAAUUCGUAGAUAUUCGGAAGAACACCAGUGGCGAAGGCGGCUCACUGGCCCGGUACUGACGCUGAGGCACGAAAGCGUGGGGAGCAAACAGG
rnacentral:rRNA from 1 species